AGGCCCGGAAAGUCAAACUGUAAUGCCCUGGAACUCAUCCUGAAACCCUUGGAUACCACCAGUCUUCACCACAAUCUCGCUCUGUCUUCUGGUCCCGACGGGAGUGUUUCCUAAUGCUUCCUGUUUGGCUGGAUUUUUGAGAUUCCAAGUUUAUCAUACAGUUUCAAGAUCAUAUAACUCGCUGAUCACCAAGGCAGUCUGACUAGAUGAACC